UACGUAGGGGGCAAGCGUUGUCCGGAAUCAUUGGGCGUAAAGCGCGUGUAGGCGGCUCGAUAAGUCUGCUGUGAAAGUCCAGGGCUCAACCCUGGGAUGCCGGUGGAUACUGUCGAGCUCGAGUCCGGAAGAGGAGUGUGGAAUUCCUGGUGUAGCGGUGAAAUGCGCAGAUAUCAGGAGGAACACCGGUGGCGAAGGCGGGACUCUGGGCCGAUACUGACGCUGAGGAGCGAAAGCGUGGGGAGCAAACAGG
rnacentral:rRNA from 1 species